CGAGUACAUACGGUACUGUACCUGUACAAGUGCCGCGGGAGACUUGUUGUCAGUGGCCCCUAUAACAGCUGACUCCAGGCUAAAAGCGGGCUAAGACUCGACAUAGAGAGACAGAGACAUCGACAAAUCAGCUCACGUCUUUGAGCCGAUCGAACCUAACUAAAAGCUAACAAAGUUGUCAAGUUGGUUUUUACGCCAUGUGGGGCAGUGCAGUCAGACGGCGUUGGGCGGGUAGGAGUGGUAACGUGCCAGACAGAGCGUCCAUUUGCAUACAACCACGUGUGUGAGUACACUGUUACGGUACAACUACGGCAUGUACCAUAUGUCUACUCCGCUAACAGAGUACAAGUACGCUACCUACUGCCCGGUGUAAGUGCAAGUACAAGAACAAGACAAGUAGUACAUCGAGUCACGUGAUUUGAAUGUCUCCGGAAAAUCAGCUGUUCCCUGGGGAUAUCAAACUCACGUGACUUCCUGCUGGGUCCCUCCGACAUCAGCCGUGCGAUGCAUACCGCCGUCUCGGAGUGGUCCGCAUUUACCAUAUAUAUCAGGAAUCAAUGAUUAGUAACGCUGACACUUAGUCAUCGCGCUCGAAUCUCGUGCCCCGUGAGUCUGCUCUCCUUUGUUAUCAAGCCAUUCUCGGAAUCGAACGAGAGGGAGCGGUACCAGUACGAGUAUCUACACAGUCUCCUUGCUAAUAGCGUAGGCAUAAACCGACAGUUGUCAUCGAUAAUUUUCCACAGCAAUGGCCACUGAUGGUCAAUUGACAAUCACGUACAGUCAUUUCCAGACCCUGCGUUGGUCGUUAACAUGGUUACAAGCUGUCUCUAC
rnacentral:misc_RNA from 1 species